CUAAAUAUUCGCCCUACUAAUUUUGGUGCACUGGUUAAUUGCCAUUACUAUAAUUUAAAUUGACGUCAUACAUACUUAAAUCAAAGUGGUGUUGGAUGUUGAGGGCGCCAUCAAAUUUGGCAGAAAAAAACACUUCCCAGUAGAGCGCCUGAAGUGAGAAACUUGGUUUUGUUUGCUUUCAGUCCGACUUUGUAUGCUUCCUUUUCCAAUUCGAGAACUAUUUGCCCAAGGCCGCAUGACUCGAUUUCCACUGAACCCCUCCACAACAAGGCGCCAAGGCAGCAUGGAGAAUAUCAGCAAUAACGAGAAGAAUAAUUAUUGUUGGCAAGAUGCAACUCUGGCGGACUCCGCUUUCGACUUAAAAUUUCUCCGAAAUGUUACUUCGAUCCAAUCACCGUUAGUGUAGAGUGUGGUAUUUGAUGAGCUUACAAAAUUAUAGGUCCAGCGUUACGCUGAUGAUAUUGCAUUAAGCUGUAGGGAAUUUUCCGAAGGGUGGUGUGGUCAGUGCAAUAGGAUACAGAAUGGAAACCAGUCUGCUUUCGGGGCGUUAUUUGAUGUAUUCCAGGAGAACUCUAGCUACUAUCUUUGCGAUGGUAAGAAGUACGCAAGUAUCCCUACA